rnacentral:rRNA from 1 species
AAAAGAACCUGAAACCGUGUACGUACAAGCAGUGGGAGCACGCUUAGGCGUGUGACUGCGUACCUUUUGUAUAAUGGGUCAGCGACUUAUAUUCUGUAGCAAGGUUAACCGAAUAGGGGAGCCGAAGGGAAACCGAGUCUUAACUGGGCGUUAAGUUGCAGGGUAUAGACCCGAAACCCGGUGAUCUAGCCAUGGGCAGGUUGAAGGUUGGGUAACACUAACUGGAGGACCGAACCGACUAAUGUUGAAAAAUUAGCGGAUGACUUGUGGCUGGGGGUGAAAGGCCAAUCAAACCGGGAGAUAGCUGGUUCUCCCCGAAAGCUAUUUAGGUAGCGCCUCGUGAAUUCAUCUCCGGGGGUAGAGCACUGUUUCGGCAAGGGGGUCAUCCCGACUUACCAACCCGAUGCAAACUGCGAAUACCGGAGAAUGUUAUCACGGGAGACACACGGCGGGUGCUAACGUCCGUCGUGAAGAGGGAAACAACCCAGACCGCCAGCUAAGGUCCCAAAGUCAUGGUUAAGUGGGAAACGAUGUGGGAAGGCCCAGACAGCCAGGAUGUUGGCUUAGAAGCAGCCAUCAUUUAAAGAAAGCGUAAUAGCUCACUGGUCGAGUCGGCCUGCGCGGAAGAUGUAACGGGGCUAAACCAUGCACCGAAGCUGCGGCAGCGACGCUUAUGCGUUGUUGGGUAGGGGAGCGUUCUGUAAGCCUGUGAAGGUGUGCUGUGAGGCAUGCUGGAGGUAUCAGAAGUGCGAAUGCUGACAUAAGUAACGAUAAAGCGGGUGAAAAGCCCGCUCGCCGGAAGACCAAGGGUUCCUGUCCAACGUUAAUCGGGGCAGGGUGAGUCGACCCCUAAGGCGAGGCCGAAAGGCGUAGUCGAUGGGAAACAGGUUAAUAUUCCUGUACUUGGUGUUACUGCGAAGGGGGGACGGAGAAGGCUAUGUUGGCCGGGCGACGGUUGUCCCGGUUUAAGCGUGUAGGCUGGUUUUCCAGGCAAAUCCGGAAAAUCAAGGCUGAGGCGUGAUGACGAGGCACUACGGUGCUGAAGCAACAAAUGCCCUGCUUCCAGGAAAAGCCUCUAAGCAUCAGGUAACAUCAAAUCGUACCCCAAACCGACACAGGUGGUCAGGUAGAGAAUACCAAGGCGCUUGAGAGAACUCGGGUGAAGGAACUAGGCAAAAUGGUGCCGUAACUUCGGGAGAAGGCACGCUGAUAUGUAGGUGAAGUCCCUCGCGGAUGGAGCUGAAAUCAGUCGAAGAUACCAGCUGGCUGCAACUGUUUAUUAAAAACACAGCACUGUGCAAACACGAAAGUGGACGUAUACGGUGUGACGCCUGCCCGGUGCCGGAAGGUUAAUUGAUGGGGUCAGCGCAAGCGAAGCUCUUGAUCGAAGCCCCGGUAAACGGCGGCCGUAACUAUAACGGUCCUAAGGUAGCGAAAUUCCUUGUCGGGUAAGUUCCGACCUGCACGAAUGGCGUAAUGAUGGCCAGGCUGUCUCCACCCGAGACUCAGUGAAAUUGAACUCGCUGUGAAGAUGCAGUGUACCCGCGGCAAGACGGAAAGACCCCGUGAACCUUUACUAUAGCUUGACACUGAACAUUGAGCCUUGAUGUGUAGGAUAGGUGGGAGGCUUAGAAGUGUGGACGCCAGUCUGCAUGGAGCCGACCUUGAAAUACCACCCUUUAAUGUUUGAUGUUCUAACGUUGACCCGUAAUCCGGGUUGCGGACAGUGUCUGGUGGGUAGUUUGACUGGGGCGGUCUCCUCCUAAAGAGUAACGGAGGAGCACGAAGGUUGGCUAAUCCUGGUCGGACAUCAGGAGGUUAGUGCAAUGGCAUAAGCCAGCUUGACUGCGAGCGUGACGGCGCGAGCAGGUGCGAAAGCAGGUCAUAGUGAUCCGGUGGUUCUGAAUGGAAGGGCCAUCGCUCAACGGAUAAAAGGUACUCCGGGGAUAACAGGCUGAUACCGCCCAAGAGUUCAUAUCGACGGCGGUGUUUGGCACCUCGAUGUCGGCUCAUCACAUCCUGGGGCUGAAGUAGGUCCCAAGGGUAUGGCUGUUCGCCAUUUAAAGUGGUACGCGAGCUGGGUUUAGAACGUCGUGAGACAGUUCGGUCCCUAUCUGCCGUGGGCGCUGGAGAACUGAGGGGGGCUGCUCCUAGUACGAGAGGACCGGAGUGGACGCAUCACUGGUGUUCGGGUUGUCAUGCCAAUGGCACUGCCCGGUAGCUAAAUGCGGAAGAGAUAAGUGCUGAAAGCAUCUAAGCACGAAACUUGCC